AUUUUGUAUUUAUAGGAGUCAUAGUCCUGUCUAACCCUAAUCCCAUGAGAAGCCUUCCUCUCCCCCGAGACAGCCAAGCGUACUCAACGUGCAAGAACAAAAUCAUUGUAGUAGCCAUUAUCUCCCCGGUCCUGAUAAUAUCCUUGAUAUAGAUACGUUUGUACGGAAGCAAUUGGAAACUUCAGGGCAAUACCUCGAACCCGUAACAAGUGUAUGGUCCAAGGUAGUUUCCAUAGCAGAAGGGUUGUAUGCUAGAUUCUCUGCUGCAGCAGUUUUUUUAGGUCCUUACAAGGCUGGUUCUUUUUUCUUUGUUGACAUCUGCAAUAAGAAUCUUGACACGUUCGGUGACAAUCACUACUACGCACAGAUGGUGGAUACGAUGCACAGUUUGAUCAAAGUCCAGGGAGGUUGUUGUUAAGGAAACA